UAAAUUAAUAUCCGUCUUCGUGGGGGUUGCUGCGGAGGUUGCUGCGGAGGUUGCGGCGGAGGUUGCGGCGGCUGGGGUAGCGGCAUGGGCGGAGGCAUGGGCGGAGGCGGAAGUCCCUGAAGCUGGGCAGCUGUAAAGUCCUGCAUGUACUGGAACAUCUGCUGCUGCUGGGCCUGCUGGAUGGCAUGUAUCUCGGCAACAUAGGCUGCCUGCGUAGCAUUAUAGGCUGCCUGCGAGGCAUUAUAGGCAGCCUGAGUAGCUUGCUGUUCUCGUAGUCUCUGAACUUCCGACUCUAGCUGAGUCGUCCUGGUGAUCGUGGACGUGGUCCUGCUGCUGGUCGAUGCUGCCUUUCUUUGAAAUCCUGGAGUGGUCUUCAGGACCCCCUCGCCUUUCUUUCCUAGACCCCGGCAGUAGAAGUUGUUUGCUCUCGGUGGGAAGGCUGUGCCCAUGAUCCUCGCCCCAAUCGUCGGAUCCGAAGUGUCGAUCCGGGACAUGGCUUCGGACAUCUCUUCCUCCUGCGUGUCCGGCCAUGUCUCCCUCACUAUAGCACUCAUCACCUCGUCACUAGCCUCCCUCACCUUCGCCUAAUUGGAUAGGAAAAAAAUAAUUNNNNNNN
rnacentral:lncRNA from 1 species